rnacentral:rRNA from 1 species
CACGUAGGGUGCGAGCGUUGUCCGGAAUUAUUGGGCGUAAAGAGCUCGUAGGCGGUGUGUCGCGUCGGCCGUGAAAACCUGCAGCUUAACUGUGGGCUUGCGGUCGAUACGGGCAUCACUGGAGUUCGGCAGGGGAGACUGGAAUUCCUGGUGUAGCGGUGGAAUGCGCAGAUAUCAGGAGGAACACCGGUGGCGAAGGCGGGUCUCUGGGCAGUAACUGACGUGAGGAGCGAAAGCGUGGGGAGCGAACAGGA